rnacentral:rRNA from 1 species
UACGAAGGGGGCUAGCGUUGUUCGGAAUUACUGGGCGUAAAGGGCGCGUGGGCGGUCUUGUAAGUCAGAUGUGAGAGCCCAGGGCUCAACCCGGGAAUAGCAUUUGAUACUGCGAGGCUUGCGUCCGGGAGAGGAUGGCGGAAUUCCCAGUGUAGAGGUGAAAUUCGUAGAUAUUGGGAAGAACACCGGUGGCGAAGGCGGCCAUCUGGACCGGUACUGACGCUGAGGUGCGACAGCGUGGGGAGCAAACAGG